rnacentral:tRNA from 1 species
GGGCUCAUGGUCUAGUGGCUAUGACAGUGCCCUUACAAGGCAUUGAUCCCCGGUUCGAGUCCGGGUGAGCCCACCA